rnacentral:rRNA from 1 species
GGUUUAUAUUCGGGCCCUUCCCCCCAAAUUUAACCUUGGAGAAGGGGGGGUCGGGUAAUAAACGGGGGACUCCCCUUUAAGUGGGGGGUAACUUUUGGGAACCAAUUGUUUAUACCCCCAAAAGAAUCCCAAGACCCCCAUGUUUCUUGUGAAGGGGGUUAAACUAUCCUUUUUGGAAGGGAACCCCCGGCGAUAACUAAGUUGGGUGGGGUAAUGGCCUCCACCCAAAGGCGUUGUUCCGUACCGAAUUAGAGGUUUGCCCCCAUGGGGAUUGAGACCACCGGCCCCAAACUCCUACGGGAGGCAGCAGUAGGGAAUUCUUUCCCACCAAUGGGACCGCAAGUUUUUGAUGGAGAACCCCCCCGCCCGUGAGUGAAGAAGGCCCUUUCGGGGUCGAAAACUUUUGUUGUUUUGGAAAAAAAAUGGUUUGGCAGAAGUAAAUGUUUGUCUGGGCGGUUGACCGGUAUUCCCAACCCAGAAAAGCCCACGGGCUAACUACGUAGCCAGCAGCCCGCGGUAAAUAAUGUAGGGUGGCAAGCGUUAUCCGGAUUUAUUUUGGGCGUAAAGCCGAGCGCAGGCGGUUUUUUUUAAGUCUGAUGUGAAAGCCCUCGGCUUAACCCGAGGAAGCGCAUCGGGAAACUGGGAAACUUGAGUGCAGAAGAGGACAGUGGAACUCCAUGUGUAGCGGUGAAAUGCGUAGAUAUAUGGAAGAACACCAGUGGCGAAGGCGGCUGUCUGGUCUGUAACUGACACUGAGGCUCGAACAGCAUGGGUAGCGAACAGGAUUAGAUACCCCCUGGUAGUCCCAUGCCGUAAAACGAAUGAAUGGCUUAGGGUGUUGGAGGGGGUUUCCCGCCCUUUCAAGGGCCGCAGCUAAACCCCAUUAAAGCAUUUCCGCUGGGGGAGUACGACCCCCCCCAAGGUUUGAAACUCAAAAGGGAAUUGGACGGGGGCCCCCGCCACAAAGCGGGUGGAGCAUGUGGUUUAAUUUCGAAGAAACGCGAAGAACCUUACCCAGGUCUUGACAUCUUUUGAUCCACCUGAGAGAUCCAGGUUUCCCCCUUCCGGGGGCAAAAUGACAGGUGGUGCAUGGUUGUCGUCAGCUCGUGUCGUGAGAUGUUGGGUAAGUCCCGCAACGAGCGCAACCCUUAUGACUAGUUGCCAGCAUUUAGUUGGGCAUCUAGUAAGACUGCCGGUGACAAACCGGAGGAAGGUGGGAGACGUCAAAUCAUCAUGCCCCUUAUGACCUGGGCUACACACGUGUACAAUGGAUGGUACAACGAGUUGCGAGACCGCGAGGUCAAGCUAAUCUCUUAAAGCCAUUCUCAGUUCGGACUGUAGGCUGCAACUCGCCUACACGAAGUCGGAAUCGCUAGUAAUCGCGGAUCAGCACGCCGCGGUGAAUACGUUCCCGGGCCUUGUACACACCGCCCGUCACACCAUGAGAGUUUGUAACACCCGAAGCCGGUGGCGUAACCCUUUUAGGGAGCGAGCCGUCUAAGGUGGGACAAAUGAUUAGGGUGAAGUCGAAUAGGAGCGUG